GGUAGUCCACGCCGUAAACGUUGGGCGCUAGGUGUGGGGAACCUUCCACGUUCUCCGUGCCGCAGCUAACGCAUUAAGCGCCCCGCCUGGGGAGUACGGCCGCAAGGCUAAAACUCAAAGGAAUUGACGGGGGGCCCGCACAAGCGGCGGAGCAUGUGGCUUAAUUCGACGCAACGCGAAGAACCUUACCAAGGCUUGACAUACAGGGAAAUCCGGCAGAGAUGUCGGGUCCGCAAGGGGCCCUGUACAGGUGGUGCAUGGUUGUCGUCAGCUCGUGUCGUGAGAUGUUGGGUUAAG
rnacentral:rRNA from 1 species